AUAAAUGCUGUAAUUUGUUUGCUAUGGAACUGAUUCUUGAAUGUAAACUUAUUUUUUCACAUGCAUGAAAUGUAUGUCUUAAUCAGAGGUGGCUUAACUGCAUUGAAAUGGCUAUUUUUUUUAAAGCUAAAAUAACUCAUAUGUUUGUAUAGAAAAAUGCCUGUUUGAAUUAAGAGUUUGUAAUGGUUUCCUUUGGUUAUAUGUUAAAUCAAAAGGUCUGUGUAAUGUAUCAAUUUUGACUACAUUUUUAAAAAAAAAUAAUGUAAUGGUAAU
rnacentral:lncRNA from 1 species